rnacentral:rRNA from 1 species
UACGUAGGGUGCGAGCGUUGUCCGGAAUUAUUGGGCGUAAAGGGCUCGUAGGCGGUUUGUCGCGUCGGGAGUGAAAACACACAGCUUAACUGUGUGCUUGCUUCCGAUACGGGCAGACUGGAGUACUGCAGGGGAGACUGGAAUUCCUGGUGUAGCGGUGGAAUGCGCAGAUAUCAGGAGGAACACCGGUGGCGAAGGCGGGUCUCUGGGCAGUAACUGACGCUGAGGAGCGAAAGCGUGGGGAGCGAACAGG